rnacentral:sRNA from 1 species
GUGAGAGUGAUCUGCCUGCAGCACCUGUCACCCUGUGGGUCCUCAGAGAGUAUAUGACUGAUACAGCUGGCUAGGUAGGUUUCUACUUCUUUCUACAUGCUACACAGGGAUCUCACCAAAGCUGAGCCCUUGGUGGAAGAGUGAACACUGCAGGCAGAGGUGGUAAGAAUCCUUCUUGUUACAAUCUUAAGUCAUUUGAGUUCUCUAAGU